UACGUAGGUGGCAAGUGUUGUCCGGAAUUAUUGGGCGUAAAGCGCGCGCAGGCGGUCCUUUAAGUCUGAUGUGAAAGCCCACGGCUCAACCGUGGAGGGUCAUUGGAAACUGGGGGACUUGAGUACAGAAGAGAAGAGUGAAAUUCCACGUGUAGCGGUGAAAUGCGUAGAGAUGUGGAGGAACACCAGUGGCGAAGGCGACUCUUUGGUCUGUAACUGACGCUGAGGCGCGAAAGCGUGGGGAGCAAACAGG
rnacentral:rRNA from 1 species